ACACGACGGUCUUGAUUCAAUUCUUUCGAGCUGCACUCUAAUGUUACACUCUCUGUACUUAAAUUAAAAUUAGGUUAAACCGGAAUAUUGCACAUGAAAAGAAAACUAGAAAUGUAAUCAUGUAAUGCAGGAAGAAUGGAGGAAAAAUUCAAGUAAAGCAAAUUAAAUAUACGAUAUAACCUAAAAAUGAGGGUCGAAGUAAUCGGUUGGAACUGAAUAAUUAUUUUAAGUUAAUUCGCCUGUACGCGUAUUAAUUCGAUUCGAUUCGAUCGUGGCUUACAAAUGUCUCGAUUCACGUUUGAAUUGAAGUACAGUGAAGUAUGCUUUGAAUACAGUGAUUAAUGGCCAGUAACAGCCAGUAAUGUCAAUAAUUACUUCUCCAGAAAAUAUAUUAUUGUUAUCUGACAGUUAUCUGACGAUACAGGAGCUGUCACAAUAUCCCGUUCUUCGGUUUUUGAUUAUUAUGCACAGAAAGACAUGCAAUUCCGAAGUUAGCGAAGAAAUAACGGUAUACGUACAUGACAUUGUUCUGAUCCCGCGUCGCACAGCACUCGAACGCCACAUGACAACGCUCGGGAAAAAACACGUUUAUUGUGGUCGCACGAUAUCCGCGAGUUGCUUCAAGAUAAAGUUAUUUUGCUUAGUACAGAUUUUACUUAUUUAAUUUACUUACAUUGUUUGGAGCUGUUCAUUAUUAAGAGACAGAGCUAUUUGUUAAACGUUGAGUAACUCAAAUCUAAAUUUUACACUGGAUAAUAUUUUGCGAGACAUUUUGUUUGAAACGUCUGGCAAAUUUUGAGGGAACAUCUUCCCUUUUUUGCAUAAUUGCUUUAUUCACAUUUAUAAUACUAAUUUAGUGAAAUAUUUCUUAUGUACGCUCCCUUUGUUAAUAGCAUACAGAAAGUUUAAUAAAAUUUUCCUGAACGUUA
rnacentral:misc_RNA from 1 species